CCCAAGGUGAGUGGGGUGCAGCUUGGCUUUAUACAUUUUGGGGAGACAUGAGACAUCAAUCAAAUACAUUUAAGAUUUACAUUGGUUUGGUCCAGAAAGGUAGGACAACUUGAAGGUGGGGACGGGGGCUUCCAGGUUAUAGGUAGAUUUAAACUUUCUCUGAUUGGCAAUUAGUUGAAAGAGUUUAUCUAAAGAGCUGGAAUCAAUAGAAAGGAAUGUCUGGGUUUUGAUAAGAGGUUGUAGAGACCACAGUUUUGUCAUGCAGAUGAAGCCUCCAGGUAGCAGCCUUCAGAGAGAACAGAUUGUACAUGUUUCUUGCCAGACCGAAAGUCUGCUUUAAUGCUAGAGAGGUUUAAUGAGGCAUUUCCAACCCUCUCUUCCUGUCGCAGCCUCAACCAGUCUUUCAGGUUAAAUCUUAGAGUGCCCUGGCUAAAGAGGGCAUUCGGAUGGUUGGGGGUGGGGGGCUUAUAAUUUUAUUUUUGGUUUACAGGAAGCAAAGAGUCCAUGAAAGAGGCACAGAGACUUUCAGGCUGCACCAGCUGUCCAGCCUCUCAUUUCCCUCCCAACUCCAUUCUUCACCUCUCCAGCAACGCAGGCCAGUCUCACUCAGGUUUUUGUUUUUAUUUCGUGGAGACAGGGUCUCGAUAUGUUGCCAGGUAAUCCUGGGCAACAAGUGAUCCUCCAGCCGUGGCUGCCCAAAGUACUGGGACUCCAGGCACGAGCCACUGCGCCCGGCCUUGUCUCCAUUUUGACCUCAGCUGGCAGACUCAGGGCACUGUUUCUCCAUCUGGAGCCCAUUGGGAGCUCCUUCACCAGCACACUGAGCCCUGCCGAGGUGAUCCACACAUGUCUGGAAGGGGAGACACUUAGAAAGUGCCUGUGCCCCACAGCUGUGGGUGACUCUGAUACUCACUCAGUUGGACACCUUCACUCAGAGUGAGGGAAUUCAUUCCCAACUCACAGAAACCACAGGCCGUGGAAAGCUGAGGUUAUUGCUUGCUGAGGGAAAUAACAUCAAGAUGGAUGAGAUCAGUCUAAUGGCUCAAGUUAUGUUUGCCAAGGGGACCGUGAAAUUCCAUGAAACACUCCCACCUUCCUCCACCCACCCAGACAGCCAGACCCCUCUACUGUCCAUCUAUCUCUCCCAUGGCCAGCCUUUCAAAGGGAAGCUGGAAUAAUUACACACACUAAUGAUUUUGCACUGCCUAAUUGGUCUUGCCCACCUACCUGUGAUGACAGUUGAGGCUGAACACCUGUUGCUGGCACGAGCUCACCACAAGCAGCUCUCAGUGACAGAAGAGGUACAGGUACUGCUGAACCAGCCCUAGUGUUUUAGUUCUUUAAAAACUUAAAACUAGCCGUCUGGCAACCAAACCUGCCCUCAGGCACUUAAUGUAUUAACCAUUCAUGAUUGUGCCAAAGCCCCAGAAACCUCUAGCAGUCAGCCCCAGGUUUAGGAAAAUUUGUUAUUGAAAUUAAGAAAUUGCAUAACUUGCAGAUAAAUGAGAACUGUUUAGAAAUACAGAAUCCAGGCCAGGUGCGGUGGCUCACGCCUGUAACCCCAGCACUUUGGGAGGCCAAGGUGGGCGGAUCAUGAGGUCAAGAGAUCGAGACCAUCCUGGCUAAUACGGUGAAACCCCAUCUCUACUAAAAAUACACAAAAUUAGCCGGGCAUGGUGGCGGGCACUGUAGUCCCAGCUACUCAGGAGGCUGAGGCAGGAGAGUGGCGUGAACCCAGGAGGCGGAGCUUGCAGUGAGCCGAGAUCGCACCAUUGCACUCCAGCCUGGGCGACAGAGCAAGACUCUGUCUCAAAAAAAAAAAGAAAAGAAAAAAGAAAUAGAGAAUCUAAAACAGCAUGGUACUAGGAUAAAAAUAGACAUAUAGACCAAUGGAACAGAAUAGAGAACCCAGAAAUUAAUCCACAUAUCCUAUAGUCAACUAAUUUUUGACAGAGGUGCCAAGAAUACUCACUGGGGAAAGGAGAAUCUCUUCAAUAAAUGGUGCUGGGGAAACUGGAUAUCCAUACACAGAAGAAUGAAACUAGACUCCCACUUGUCAUCUAUACAAAAAUCAACUCAAAAUGGAUUAAAGAUCUGAAUGUAAGAUCCAAAACUACAAAAUUACUGGACGAAAACAUAGAUUGGCCUGAGAAAAAGUUUUACAAAUAAGAUAUCAAAAGCACAGGCAACAAAACCAAAAAAAUAAAGAAAUGUGUUUAUAUCAAGCUAUAAAGCUUCUACAUAACAAAGGAAACAAUCAACAAAGUGAAAAGAUCAACCUACAGAAUGGGAGAAGAUACUUGCACACUAUUUAUCCAGCAGGGGAUUAAUAUCCAGAAUGUACAAGGAACUCAAACACCUCAACAGCAAAAAACAAUGUGAUUAUAAAAUGGGCAAAUGAUCUGAACAAACAUUUCUCAAAAGAAGACAUACAGAUGGCCAAUAAAUACAUGAAAAAACGUUCAACAUCACUAAUCAUCAGGGAAAUGCAAACCAAAACCACAAUGAGGUAACAUCUCACCCCAGUUAGGAUGGCUAUUAUCAAAAAGACAAAAAAUAACAAAUGCUGGUGAGAAUAUGGAGAAAAGAGAACUCUUAUACAUUACUGAUGGGAAUGUAAACUAGAACAGCCACUAUGGAGAACAAUAUGGAAGUUCCUCAAAAACUACAAAUAGAACUACCAGAUAAUCCAGCAAUCCCAUUACUGGGAAUCUAGCCAAAGGAAGGGAAAUCAGUAUUUUGAGGAAACAUUUGCACCCCCAUGUUUAUUGCAGCAGUGUUCACAGUAGCCAAGCCAACCUAGGUAUCCAACAACAGAUUAAUGGAUAAAGAAUACGUGAAAUAUACAAUGGAAUACUAUUCAGCCAUAAAAAGGAAGGAAAUCUGUCAUUCACAGCAACGUGGAUGGAAUUAGAGGACAUUACGUUAAGUGCAAGAACAAAAUUAAGCACCACAUGCUCUCACUCAUAUGUGGAAGCCAAGAAAAUGUUAAUCUCAUAACAUUUCUUAGAAAGAACAUACUUUCAAGAAAGAACUUACUUUCCUGUCAAAAGUAGAACAGAGGAUAGUAGAGGCUGGGAAAAGUAGAGGAAUAAGGAUAGGAAGAUAUUUGUUACAGGAUACAAAGUUACAGCUAGAUAGGAGAAGUAAGUUAUAGUGUUCUAUCCCACUGUAGGAUGAUUAUAGUUCACAAUAAUAUAUGGUUUUAAAUAUCUAGAAGGAGGGUAUUAAAUGUUUCUAACACAAAGAAAUGAUAAAUAUUUGAGAUAAUGGAUGUGCUAAAUACCUUGGUCUGGUCGCACUAUACAUUGUAUGUAUCAAAACACCACUGUGUACCCCAUAAAUAUGUAUAAUUAUGGAUCAAUU
rnacentral:lncRNA from 10 species